rnacentral:rRNA from 1 species
GACGAACGCUGGCGGCGUGCUUAACACGUGCAAGUCGAACGGUGACCCAGGGCUUGCCCUGGUGAUCAGUGGCGAACGGGUGAGUAACACGUGGGCAACCUGCCCCUGACUUCGGGAUAACUCCUCGAAAGAGGAGCUAAUACCGGAUACGACCACUUCGGACAUCCGAUGGUGGUGGAAAGUUUUUCGGUCAGGGAUGGGCCCGCGGCCUAUCAGCUAGUUGGUGGGUAAUGGCCUACCAAGGCGACGACGGGUAGCCGGCCUGAGAGGGCGACCGGCCACACUGGGACUGAGACACGGCCCAGACUCCUACGGGAGGCAGCAGUGGGAAUAUUGCGCAAUGGGCGAAAGCCUGACGCAGCGACGCCGCGUGAGGGAUGAAGGCC